UUGUCUCUUUGGUUACGAACCUGAUUCAUCAUUCAUCAGCCACUUCCAAUCUUCCUCUCCAAUCUUCUUCGUAUACAACUGUUUCUUUAUUCUGAUUUUAAAUUAUCAAUUUCCCAUUUUAUUAUUCACAUCAAACAAAUUUGCAGCUUCUUCGUUUAGGGUUUUGUUUCUGUUUCUUCGAUUUAUAACAACACAUACAUCACUCUUCAGAUUAAAGGAGAUGAUGGUUGUUGAUUGAACGUGAUGAUUGUUGUAUGAUUUCAUUCUAAGGUGAUCUUUGUUAUCCUCUAUUUUGUUUAUUGAUCAUUCUAUGUUUUUUGUUUCACAGGUUACUGAUUUGCACGAAGUUGAAAAACAAAUCAUGGAGUUUAUGGCUUAUGGCUCCAAUCGAUUUUCUCGCAUCUUCUCCGCUUUGACGUACCAUAAUUUCCCCAAAUUCUAACCAUCUUCUUCAAUCGAUCCCUUUUCUGUUUUUUUUCAAAUGCCGCAAAAAUUCCUCUAUUCUCCUCCAUAACAAUACAAAUCUCCAUCUUUCUCAAAUUCAUCUGUACAACUGCAUCACAAUAUGAAUCAAACAAUAAAAAAUGGAAGAUAAUAUUGUACCAAAUGGAAUCGUGCGGUGGAGCGGCGGCCGUAGUCAGAGAAGGGUGGUCCGCGGUUUCGUUCGAUUUCGGCGACUGAUAAUUUAUUUUUAAAUUAGCCCCAAAAUUUUAUAUCAUAUGUUCUGUUGAAUUUGUAACUAAUGUACUUUCAUUUUGCAGGCAAACUUCUAAUAGUGACGCUGUUAUUGAGAAGUUAAGUUUGCUCGUGAAGAAAUCGUCGAAUGCUGAUGAUUGUGAAGAUGGGAAUCAAUCCAUCAAUUAGAGGAGAAGUUUGGGAAUUUCUACUCAGUUGCUAUGAUGCCAAGAGUACAUUUGAGGAAAGAGAGGAGAUAAGGCAGUGUCGUAGGGCGAAAUAUGCUGAAUGGAAGGAAGAAUGUCGUCAAUUAUUUUCGCUCGUGGGAAGUGGUAGAUUUAUCACAACACCUGUAGUUACUGACGAUGGUCAACCGAUUCAAGAUCCAACUAUAUCGAGCGUCUACUGCGCAAAUUAAUGAACAGUAGUCAUCCAAAUGAAAAAGUCGAUUCAGAUUACAAAGCCUUCCCGAUCAUGUGUGAAUGUGGACGAGCUGGUAGAGAUAGUCAGCCUACUUCCUGUGUAUUAUAUUAUAACUACAGUGACUAUGGAAUUACUGAGGGCUUACUCUAAAUGCCAAAAUAGUGCUAAAAUUAUUUCUGUUCAAAAUGAAUGGCUAUCACAAGCACGUCAGGUUAUGCUGGUGAGUUUUCCGUGCUUUUGUGAUGCGUAUGUGGUUUUCCAUUGGAAUUACAGUUAUGUUUUCUUUUUAUACUAUAAAUUAGAGUUUAGAUGAGUUGGAUUUUAAGAUUGAUCAAGGGCGACUUCAAGACUCAGAGUGUUUGUUUACAAUAAUUUUUGUUUUCUUUGUUGUAGAAAUAGUGAAGAACUUAAUGGAGGCUCAUUCUGAAAGGGUAUCCCGCUAUUCACGAUAUACCAACAAUUUGUUUUGGUUAUUAUGAAUAGUAUUUACCUGAGAUUAUGCAUAUUGA